GUCAGGGGGCGGGGCCGGGGCGGGGCCGAGGCCGCUUGCACCGCCCCCCGCCCGGGCGAGUCCAUUCUGUGGCGCGAAGGGGGCACGAGGGGAGCCGAGCAGGGGCCGCCGGAGACUGGGGCGCUCUCGCCCGUCCGCCGCGAGGAAGCGCGAGGCCGCCGCCUCCCCGAUCCAGCCGUGCCUCUGACGGCCAGCACCUCCCCACAGUCCCCACCCCGGACUCCUUGCGCCCUCCCGUUCCCCUGGCAACGGCCGGUGACCUCACCGGGGUUGUAAGCCGAGCCCAGAGUGAAGUCACCGCUGUUGCUAUGGGGACUCAGUGGUCGCCAAGGAGUUCGGGGUGGGGUGGGCAAGGGAUGGGGGUUGGGGAAAUAGUAUUUGAAGGGGUCUUGAGGAAAACUGGAAAAACUGAGGCUCAGCCAAGCAAGGAACGGCGGAGACCUGAGAGGGAUGGGAAGGAGACGCCGAGGGGGAGGGGCGAGCGGGGGCCAGGAACCAAGGCGGUGGCAGCCGCGCCCUAAGCCAGCUGGCCCGGGGCCCCUCCAGCCCUAGAUCGGUCCUCCACGAGCCUGCCUUGAGGAUGCAGAGCCCCAUCUAGCUCCAGUUCUGCCGCCAACUCCCUGGCACCUUGGACAGAUCCCCUGAUCCUUCAGGCCCCCUCAUCAGUUGAGUGGGGAUAACACUACUGCCUCCCAGCCUCUGAGAGAAGCUUACUGAGUCUCUGGGAGUAGCAGGAGGUCAACACAGAGACAGGUCUCAAGACUUCCUGGCCUCUCCCAUCUCGUGGGCAGUUGAAGGAGCUACUUCCUGUCUUAGUCCCCGACAGCAGUAAUAAUAAUAAUAAUACCAAAUGAAAUUCUGAUUGUACACUCAAGACGUGCCAAGCAGUAUACCUAUGUUUCUUGCACAUCAUUUCAUUUCAUGAGGGUGCCAGCACAGACCUGAAACCCCCUUUGUC
rnacentral:lncRNA from 1 species